GACGAACGCUGGCGGCGUGCUUAACACAUGCAAGUCGAACGGAAAGGCCCUGCUUGCAGGGUACUCGAGUGGCGAACGGGUGAGUAACACGUGGGUGAUCUGCCCUGCACUUCGGGAUAAGCCUGGGAAACUGGGUCUAUUACCGGAUAUGACCUUCCAUGUAGUGUGGGGGGUGGAAAGAUUUAUCGGUGUGGGAUGAGCCCGCGGCCUAUCAGCUUGUUGGUGGGGUAAUGGCCUACCAAGGCGUCGACGGGUAGCCGGCCUGAGAGGGUGGACGGCCACAUUGGGACUGAGAUACGGCCCAGACUCCUACGGGAGGCAGCAGUGGGGAAUAUUGCACAAUGGGCGGAAGCCUUAUGCAGCGACGCCGCGUGGGGGAUGACGGCCUUCGGGUUGUAAACCUCUUUCGACAGGGACGAAGCUUCGGUGACGGUACCUGUAGAAGAAGCACCGGCUAACUACGUG
rnacentral:rRNA from 1 species